CUCUCUUAGGAACUCCAGGAAGAUGAACAUUACAGAACUCAACCUAGAGCUUGAAACAAGUAUAAACAUUCUACUCCAGCCCAAGCUUCAUCCUUCCUCUAUAAAAGCACCCCAAAAUUGGCAGACCAGUCGAAGAUAUUUUUAAAAGUCCUCCCAGUGUGGCCACCUCCUUUUCACUUUUACUGAUGACUUUGCCUCUCUGUGCCUUGCUGAGUAGUGAAGGGUCAGACCUGCUUUGGUUCUCUGGACUGGAUGAUAGAGCUCUUUGUUCAGCAGUAAUAUCUGCUUAAUAAUUUGCUAUUUUUUUUAAACACUGGCCUUGGAACUCAGGGACAAGUGAAUUCACAAAUUUGAGAAGGGAGACCAAAUGCUAAUAUUCAUCUCUAACAUCUGUGAAAAUGAAUGCCCUUGUCCAGGCCGAGAUGGAAAAUUAAUUCAAGUGAAAAGAGCAGUGAACCAUGAGUCAGCCUAGGUUAAAGCCAGAAACUGAAAACAAACUAAUGUGCAACCUGGACAGACCGCUCCACACCUCUGGGCUUCGAUUUUAUCACGUCAGCACAGAGAUGGAACAUUUUUAUGAUCACAGAAUGUUCUACUGGACAGUGCUGCUCUCCAAGCAAGGAGGGACUGGCUAUUGAUGAAUCUCAGCGUAAUUUCAUCCCACUCUUCAGGCAGCAGCAUCAGCAGAAAGCCAAU